rnacentral:misc_RNA from 1 species
GCCCGUCACACCAUGGAAGUUGGCAAUACCCGAAGCCUGUGAGCGAACCUUUUAGGGCGCAGCAGUCGAAGGUAGGGUCAGUAACUGGGGUGAAGUCGUAACAAGGUAGCCGUAUCGGAAGGUGCGGCUGGAUCACCUCCUUUCUAAGGAUGAGAAGCUGAUACGUCAGCUUCUCACGUGAGAUUUUUAUCUCUUAGAAAUAAAAUCUCAAAGUAACUUUGGAUUCUGUAUAAUAGUUCAAAAUAGAACCAACAAAACUAAAUAGCAAAAAAUAUUUCCAGUCAAGAAAGAAA